rnacentral:lncRNA from 1 species
AAUCCAUCAUAUAUGGUCAUAUCAAUCAAAUCGGUCAUAUUGAUAAUAGAGAAAAUCAAAUAAAUCAGGACAUGCAUAGUUUUUCGUAUCAUUUUUCACGAAGUCGUUCCGAUUUUCAUCUACUGAGGGCAGUAUGGAUUUUCAACUACCUAUAUGGAAUGACUACUUCAGUUAUGACAGUAAAUUUGCGGCUUGUCAAACCAACAACACAUUUGCACCUUGCCAAACUGUGACAUGAUCUAUGACCAUGACCAUGCGAGCCAUCGUGGUCCUACAGUAAGAUUAUAACCAUGGUCAUACUUCACCAAAGGUGGUCCAUAAAGUAAUUUUGCGUCACCACUCUUGUUAGAGGGUAUGUCGUCAUCUAUAGGGAGUUGUCCUCUCACAUAUUUUCAGAUCAGAUGGGAAAGAAAUAAAAAUCUCUCAGAGAU